rnacentral:rRNA from 1 species
UACAGAGGGUGCAAGCGUUAUUCGGAAUUGCUGGGCGUAAAGCGUGCGUAGACGGUCAUGUAAGUCGGGUGUGAAAGCCCCGGGCUCAACCUGGGAAUUGCAUUCGAGACUGCAUGGCUAGGGUGCGGAAGAGGGAAGCGGAAUUUCCGGUGUAGCGGUGAAAUGCGUAGAUAUCGGAAGGAACACCAGUGGCGAAAGCGGCUUCCUGGUCCAGCACCGACGUUCAGGCACGAAAGCGUGGGGAGCAAACAGG